GUGUCUGCCGGUGACCACACUUACUCAGGGAAAGAUGAAGUCACCACCUGCAUGAGUUUCAGGAUGGCCAGAGAAUGGCCCCUUCAGAUAGACUGGAGCCACCCUGGGGAGGUAGAAAUUCUUAUGGACUGGAAUCUUCCUCAAGGCUUACUUUGUUCCUGGGAUGCAGUGGUGCAUAGAAGAUAGGGCAUUGACUCACUCAGACCUGGCUUGCCCAGCAUGCAUUGCAACAAUGAUGUGCAAGUUAUUAAAGACAUGAGUGAAUUCGUGACAGAUUGUCAGAAAAGAAACAAGAGUUUUCUACAACAAAAAACUGGCUUAUGGAACAUAUACUUCUGCUUGAGUUGAAUGUGUUGGGCUGAGUGUAAGAAAAUGCAAGCUGCAAAUCUGUCUUACAUGUGGAACCAAAGCUGGAAAUGUGUGCUUUAGAGGCAACUGUAAAAUUGUAUUUCCUUCUGGCAUAUGGGCCAAUGAUUAUGUUGUGUGAGUAAUGCAUAGAUGUAAUCCAUGUGGUAAGCUUUGUGGAUGAAGAAAAUGUCAGUGUUAUUGGCUGAGGCUUGGCAAGCAUUAGCCAUGUGUUUAGAAAAAUUUACAUGGCCUGAAACAAUGCAAAAAAUGUACUGUCCUGUUUGUCA
rnacentral:lncRNA from 1 species